UAUGGCAGCCCCCUCAUAGAGGAACACACAGGAUCAGACAGCCUUCAGUGAAACACACAUCUGUGGCUGAACUUAGUCCAGACGUUUCGACCCUAUGGUCCAUUGAACUCUAGAGGUCCCCAAGGCUAAUACAGAUGGCUCAUUGAACAGAAGUGCUCCUGGCUGUGGCUUCUGUCUCCCUUGUGAUAUUCAAGUAUUUUAGAUGUACAGCGAGAGAGGGAAGAUGAUGUCAGGAUCUUCUAUUUCCACUCUGUUGGUUACCUACUCUGUGAUGCUAACAUGCAGCAGUAGCAUUAUGGAGAGCAAAAGACAAGACGGCAAUGUCUACUGAUGGAAAUAAACAAUAAUAUUGAGAGGAACUGUUUCUCAAACCUCAAGAUUUACAAUCUGCAAAUUUGCCCUGAAACAUGCCAGAAGAAGAAAAUGGGUAAGAAAUAAAUCAAAAGAAGAAAGCAAAGUUGUUAUGGUACAUACUGCUGUAGAGGUGCAAAUAAUCUAUAAUGAUACUGGGUGUACAGGUAUGGGAUCCUUAAACUAGAGACCCAUAAUCCAGAAAGCUCAGAAUCACAGGAAGUCUUUC